UACGAAGGUGUCAAACGUUGUCCGGAAUUACUGGGCGUAAAGGGCGCGUAGGCGGUUGGAUAAGUCAGAUGUGAAAGCUCAGGGCUCAACCCUGAGAUUGCAUCUGAUACUGUCUGACUUGAGUUCGGUAGAGGAGGGCGGAAUUCCUGGUGUAGUGGUGAAAUGCGUAGAGAUCCGGAGGAACACCAGUGGCGAAGGCGACACGCUGGGCCGUACCUGACGCUAAAGCGCGACAGCAUGGGGAGCAAACGGG
rnacentral:rRNA from 1 species